GGAUGUGCUUAACACAUGCAAGUCGAGCGGACAGAUGGGAGCUUGCUCCCUGAUGUUAGCGGCGGACGGGUGAGUAACACGUGGGUAACCUGCCUGUAAGACUGGGAUAACUCCGGGAAACCGGGGCUAAUACCGGAUGGUUGUUUGAACCGCAUGGUUCAAACAUAAAAGGUGGCUUCGGCUACCACUUACAGAUGGACCCGCGGCGCAUUAGCUAGUUGGUGAGGUAACGGCUCACCAAGGCAAUUUUUUCUUAGCUAGACGGGGAGAGGGUGAUCGGCCACACUGGGACUGAGACACGGCCCAGACUCCUACGGGAGGCAGCAGUAGGGAAUCUUCCGCAAUGGACGAAAGUCUGACGGAGCAACGCCGCGUGAGUGAUUUUUUUUCGGAUCGUAAAGCUCUGUUGUUAGGGAAGAACAAGUACCGUCGAAUAGGGCGUACCUGACGACAACCCAAGCGG
rnacentral:rRNA from 1 species